rnacentral:pre_miRNA from 1 species
AUAGUACUCCCUCUGUCCUAAAAUUCUUGUCUUAGAUUUGUCUAGAUAUGGAUGUAUCUAAUACUAAAAUGUGAUUUGAUAUAUCCGUAUUUAGAUAAAUCUAAGACAAGAAUUUAGACAAAUCUAAGACAAGAAUUUAGACAAAUCUAAGACAAUAAUUUUAGGACGGAGGGAGUAUCUG